rnacentral:rRNA from 1 species
GACGAACGCUGGCGGCGUGCUUAACACAUGCAAGUCGAACGGAAAGGCCCUGCUUUUGUGGGGUGCUCGAGUGGCGAACGGGUGAGUAACACGUGAGUAACCUGCCCUUGACUUUGGGAUAACUUCAGGAAACUGGGGCUAAUACCGGAUAGGAGCUCCUGCUGCAUGGUGGGGGUUGGAAAGUUUCGGCGGUUGGGGAUGGACUCGCGGCUUAUCAGCUUGUUGGUGGGGUAGUGGCUUACCAAGGCUUUGACGGGUAGCCGGCCUGAGAGGGUGACCGGCCACAGUGGGACUGAGAUACGGCCCAGACUCGUACGGGAGGCAGAAGUGGGGAGUAUUGCACAGUGGGCGGAAGCCAGAUGCAGCAACGCCGCGUGCGGGAUGACGGCCUUCGGGUUGUAAACCGCUUUCGCCUGUGACGAAGCGUGAGUGACGGUAAUGGGUAAAGAAGCACCGGCUAACUACGUG